GACGAACGCUGGCGGCGUGCUUAACACAUGCAAGUCGAACGGAAAGGCCCUUCUUUUUUGGGUUGCUCGGGUGGCGAACGGGUGAGGAACGCGAGAGUAGCCUACCCUGCACUUUUGGAUAACUUCAGGGAACGGGGGCGUAGACCGUAUGGGAGCUCCUGCGGCUGUGGGGUGGUGGGAAAGUUUCGGCGGUUGGGGAUGUAGGGGCGGGGUUUCAGCUUUUUGGGGGGGUGGGGGGGGACCAGGGCUUUGACGGGUGGACGGCCUGAGGGGGUGGGCGGCCCCAUUGGGACUGAGACGCGGCCCAGACUCCUGCGGGAGGGCGCAGUGGGGAAAAUUCCACAAUGGGGGGACGGCGGAUGCAGCAACGCCGCGUGCGGGAUGACGCUCUUCGGGUUGUAAACCGCUUUCGCCUGUGACGAAGCGUGAGUGACGGUAAUGGGUAAAGAAGCACCGGCUAACUACGUG
rnacentral:rRNA from 1 species